rnacentral:rRNA from 1 species
ACACAUGCAGUCGAGCGGCAGCGGGAAGAAGCUUGCUUCUUUGCCGGCGAGCGGCGGACGGGUGAGUAAUGUCUGGGAAACUGCCUGAUGGAGGGGGAUAACUACUGGAAACGGUAGCUAAUACCGCAUAACGUCGCAAGACCAAAGAGGGGGACCUUCGGGCCUCUUGCCAUCAGAUGUGCCCAGAUGGGAUUAGCUUGUUGGUGAGGUAACGGCUCACCAAGGCGACGAUCCCUAGCUGGUCUGAGAGGAUGACCAGCCACACUGGAACUGAGACACGGUCCAGACUCCUACGGGAGGCAGCAGUGGGGAAUAUUGCACAAUGGGCGCAAGCCUGAUGCAGCCAUGCCGCGUGUAUGAAGAAGGCCUUCGGGUUGUAAAGUACUUUCAGUCAGGAGGAAGGUGGUGAGCUUAAUACGUUCAUCAAUUGACGUUACUGACAGAAGAAGCACCGGCUAACUCCGUGCCAGCAGCCGCGGUAAUACGGAGGGUGCAAGCGUUAAUCGGAAUUACUGGGCGUAAAGCGCACGCAGGCGGUCUGUCAAGUCGGAUGUGAAAUCCCCGGGCUCAACCUGGGAACUGCAUUCGAAACUGGCAGGCUGGAGUCUCGUAGAGGGAGGUAGAAUUCCAGGUGUAGCGGUGAAAUGCGUAGAGAUCUGGAGGAAUACCGGUGGCGAAGGCGGCCUCCUGGACAAAGACUGACGCUCAGGUGCGAAAGCGUGGGGAGCAACAGGAUUACAUACCCUGGUAGUCCACGCCGUAACGAUGUCGACUUGGAAGCUUGUGCCCUUGAGGCGUGGCUUCAGGAUCUAACGCAUUACGUCGACCGCUUGGGGAGUCGGCCGCAAGGUUUAAACGCAAAU